rnacentral:rRNA from 1 species
UGAUCCUGGCUCAGGAUGAACGCUAGCGGCAGGCCUAAUACAUGCAAGUCGGACGGGAUCCAUCGGUAGCUUGCUACCGAUGGUGAGAGUGGCGCACGGGUGCGUAACGCGUGAGCAACCUGCCCAUAUCAGGGGGAUAGCCCGGAGAAAUCCGGAUUAACACCGCAUGACACUGCAUCCCGGCAUCGGGAGGCAGUUAAAUAUUCAUAGGAUAUGGAUGGGCUCGCGCGACAUUAGCUAGUUGGUGGGGUAACGGCCCACCAAGGCGACGAUGUCUAGGGGCUCUGAGAGGAGAAUCCCCCACACUGGUACUGAGACACGGACCAGACUCCUACGGGAGGCAGCAGUAAGGAAUAUUGGUCAAUGGGGGCAACCCUGAACCAGCCAUGCCGCGUGCAGGACGACUGCCCUAUGGGUUGUAAACUGCUUUUGUUAGGGAAUAAACCCCACUACGUGUAGUGGGCUGAAUGUACCUAAAGAAUAAGGAUCGGCUAACUCCGUGCCAGCAGCCGCGGUAAUACGGAGGAUCCGAGCGUUAUCCGGAUUUAU